rnacentral:lncRNA from 1 species
GGAUUAUGUAAAGUUCCAAAUUUCCAAUGAUGAAUGUCAUUAUAUUGUAUGCCUUAAGUGUACCAAUAAAAUUAAUUUUAAAAGAAAGAAAUAUGUUAAGCUCACAUAUUAAAAAAACAAGAAAUAUAAAACUUGUGAUAUUGAGUUAAAAGAUUGACUUAGUUCAGCCAGAGAACGACAGCAGCCCGAACCAAGGAUUAUGACGGGGCAGAGGCAGUUCUGGGGAGGUAAGAAAUAGAGCCAGGGGUUACAAAUAUGACGUUAGUGUCAGAAAGGAGGCGACGUUAUAAACUGGUAGUUCCUGUGGAAAACCAAAGACCAGAAAAUGUCAGCCGUGAGAUUUGAAAGUGGAUCAGGGCUCAUAAAUAAGGGACCAUAGAUGAAGGGUUCAGCCCCGAGGCCCACUGUAAUACACUUCCGGUUACUGUGUGUGGGAGGAGGGAGCCGUGUGGGCCAGGUCUUCUAUAUACGCAGAAAGGCUGCUUCAGAUAAGCUAAUUCCCUUCAGCAAGGCAAACGAGGAAGUCACUUAUGUAAGUGGACAGUCAUUUUAGACCGAUUCUCCCCUCUGAGAUGGAGC